AUGAACUUGAAUAUAGAAAAUCCCAAGGAAUCCACUGAAAAAUUACAAGAACUGAAACAUGAGUUUUGUAAGUUUGCAGGGAGUUCGAAGCUCCAAGAAGAGGAAGAGAGCUGGGGAACAACUGGUCGGUGGAGCAGUCAGAACACACACAUUUAUCAAGUUUCCCACCUUAUAUGGACACAGGUUGUCGUGUCCCCUAACAAUUACAAUACUAUCAAAGAUCACUGGUCACAGGUCACUAUAAUAGGUUACAAUGAAAAACUCUGAAAUUUAUUAAGAAUUACCAAAAUGUGACACAGAGAUAUGAAGUGAGCACUUGGUGUUGGACAAAUGAUUCAAUGCAGGGUUGCCACAAACUUUCAAUUUGUAAAAAAAAUACAUUAUCUGUGAAUAAAGCAAAUAGUAUUUCAAUAAAGCAAAGUACGCCUGUAAUCAAGAACAAUUCAGGCAAUAUAUAGAGGUAAACAAAUGCUGUCAGAAGGCAUAGAAUAGGCAAAUAUUCAGAGGAGAAGGAAACUGGGGCUUUAAGGAAAUUGCAGGUGACUUGGCAGAGAUGACAUAUGGCUAGCAAAUUCGAGAUAGGGUCAUGGGGUGUGAGUCUGGAAAGGUAAGAAAAGCCUGCAUUAUGCAAGGUCACAGAUGCCACAACAUUGAUUUUGCCCACCCUGAAAGUAAAAUAUACCAGUGAUAACUGUUAAACUGAAGGUUACCUAAAAGGUUACAAAGUUUUAAUAAGAUUUUUCUAGUUGCAUUGUAGAGAAUGAAUAAGGAGCUCUCAAGACUGGGGAAACAGUAUUCAGCUAAGACAACAUUUUAAUAUUCUGAGUGAGAGAUGAUAGAGGUCUGAUCUAGAAACAUGGCAAAGCAAUGGAGUGAAGGGGGAAGAUUCUAGUGAUAUUUUGGAAGUAAAAUUAAUAUAAUUUUGUGCUUCAAUGACUGUGAGGAGUGACUGAAAAUAAAAUACAUUCUCCAUGAAUUAUAAAAUAUAUGUCAUAUUUCUUUUAUGCAAAUGUUCAAAAUCGCAGUUAUUAUUUUAAUUCUCUUUAUACCAUUAUAUUUUGCCCUUCAUUACAGGGAUAGAAUUUCUUGUGAUUAUAUAAAAGUGUCUUCCUCUAGUCUGAAGUUGAUCUUAGUAUAUUUUUAAGACAAAUUUUUCCUGAAUUUAUAGUUAGCUGAAUUCACAUAAUAAUCUAUGUGAAUCAUCUUUACAGGUAUUACUGUCUAUGGUGUUACCUUCUAGCUGCAUAAUCCAGGCAUAUUUCUGCCUUUCUCUCUCUAAUUACUUUUAGCUUAUUUCCCAGUUGGUAAAAAGAGGAACUUCAUUCUAAUUGAAUCCAGUUUUCAAAAAUUAUGGAUCCUCUGUUUUAUACCAAUAGUCAUUCACCUGAUACAAGGGGUAAGGGUUGCUUUUGAAACCCUUGCAUGGUGGGCUACAUAAAUACAACAAUAAAAAAUUCUAAAUAGAAGUUUUGGCAAGAAAUAACAGUAGUCUUUAUCCUACAAGCAUGGGUCCUGAAAACAGGGUUCCUUUCUUCUUCAGUCUUUGCCAAAUUGGCAAAACUGCCAUGACCUGAAAGAAGGGUGCGCAUAAUAGUCUUAGACAGCAUUAAUGAGACUGUUUCUUCUAUUGAGACAGAAGCUUUAUUUUAUACCUUUAAAGAGUCUGUGAAAAGGUUUUAACUUUAAAGGAUUUUAAAAGGUCCUCUUUUUCUUCCAUUAAAAUCAACAUUUUCUGCAUCUUGUCUUUAUUUUGUGAAGUGUUAACCAACAAAUUGAAUACAGCCUGUGCUUGGCAAAUGAAUAUUAAAUGCUUUUUCCUGGAAAAUGUGUUUGCUCAUUAAAUUUGACAGUCAUUGCUUAUGUGGUAAAUGUUGUCAGUGCCAAGAACUAUCUGGCAUGGCUGCCAGCUACAGGUCCAUUAUUUUAAUUGCCUUUAACCUAUAAUCAAUAUUUACUGCUUUCCAUAGAAAGAGACUGCAUAGCUAAGCAGUACAAAAAGUGAGUUUAUUCCUCUGAUGUUAGUUUUUGCUUUUACAUCUAAAAGGUAGUAUUAAAUGCUUCCUCUGGGUACUACUUUUUUUUUAUAUAUCAAAACUGUUUCCUACCACUUAUUUUGUGAAAUGCUCACAUCAGCCAAAUCAUAUCUAUUUCAAACAAAGCAAUCUGAAUUUAUGACUAAGUGAGACUCAAAUUCUGCUUUAUCAUAAAAUUACCUACAUCUUUUGUUUUUGUCAUUGGAAGAAGGUUCUGAAAUUUAAUAACAUUUAUGGGGAAAUGCAUGCUUCCAAGCAUAAUAUCUUUAGGAUUUUCUCAGAUAUUUUGGAAAGGACAAGCCUUCAGGCAAAAAUCAAGAGAUUCUAAUUGGAAGGAGGCAGACUGUAAAGGCUAGGAUGAUGCUUUCAUCUUUUGAGCAUGCAAGUUAACAAUGGAGAGCCUUUGAGAUUAUUAAACUUAAGAAUGGCAUUAUACAAAUGACAUUGUAAAAAGAACACUCUGAUAGUAAUGUAAAGAAAGAUUGUAAUCAUGAAGUAAGAGAAAGGGAAUAGAUUUUAAUAUAAACAAAUAGAGUUAAGUAGAAGAAUUAUAGCAAUAUUUUGCAUCAGGACUAUUACAAUGGUGUGUGUGUGUGUGUGUGUGUGUUUGCAUAGACCUAGGUGUAUGAGUUCACUGCAAGAUUUUACAUAAUAACAAAUAUAUGGAAAGAGCUUAAAUAGUAAAAAAUCAAGAAUUGAGCAAACAAAUGUUCUACAAUUGAGGUUUAUGAAGCCACUGAGUUUGAUUUUUAAGAAUUAUAUGUGAUUAUGUAACGUGUAUGACACACAGUUGACAAAAAUAAUGCUCAUGGCACAUUAAAUGAUAAGUGUAGAUGUACCUUAUAUA
rnacentral:lncRNA from 1 species